GUAGUUGUGGCUGAGUGCUUAAGGUGAGGGACUAGCAAUCCUUUGGGGUUUCCUCAUGCAGGUUUGAGUCCUGCUGACUAUG